GAUGAACGCUGGCGGCGUGCUUAACACAUGCAAGUCGAACGAUGAAAGCGGGAGCUUGAUCCUGCUGGAUUAGUGGCGAACGGGUGAGUAACACGUGAGUAACCUGCCCUUGACUCUGGGAUAAGCGUUGGAACCGACGUCUAAUACCGGAUACGAGCUUCAGUCGCUUGACUAGGAGCUGGAAAGAAUUUCGGUCAAGGAUGGACUCGCGGCCUAUCAGCUAGUUGGUGAGGUAAUGGUACACCAAGGCGACGACGGGUAGCCGGCCUGGGGUGAUGAGCAGCCACACAGUGACUGAUACACGGGACAGACUCCUACGAUAGGCAGCAUUGGGGAGUAUUGUGCAAUGGGCGAAAGCCUGAUGCAGCAACGCCUCGUGUGGGACGACGGCCUUCGGGUUGUAAACCUCUUUUAGUAAGGAAAAAGCGAAAGUGACGGUACCUGCAUAAAAAGCACCGGCUAACUACGUGCCAGCCGCCGCAGUAAGAC
rnacentral:rRNA from 1 species